rnacentral:tRNA from 1 species
GUUGUAGUUCAGCGGUAGAGCACUCACCUAGCACGGGUGAGGCCCUGGGUUCGAUCCUCAGCACG